UUCUCUCUGAAAAAAAUAAAGGGUUAUUGUAUUUUAUAGUAUUAAGGAAGCUGAAGAGAAAGUCCGUGCUCAUGGCCAUGGGGGCGUGUGCACUAUUUUUAAUUUUGGGAGGAUAACAAAGCCACCGGUUCCGUACAGGUGAAGGGUUCUGAACAGGAAGCAGAAAGGAGAAGAGACCGCCAGUUGCCGGUAGGAAGGUGGGAAAGAGGCCGUUAAGGGAGUGGCAGUGGUGGUGGUGGCAGGUUUACAGGCUGGCCUUGACAGGGGAAAAAAAAAAUGCAGUAAUGAUUCUCCUUCCGAUUCGGCGAUCAAUCUUGUCGUUUUGCGCCAGCUCAGCAGUUCCGUGCGGCCGUUCUUUUUUUUUUUUUUUUGGUUAAAAGAAAAGAAAUUAUUAAUUAGUAAUAAAAAUGGCAUAAGAAGAUGGUGUACAGGCUGGCAUGGCUCAGUCAAAGUUGAAAGUCCAUAAAACCUUACCCAACCAACCGUUACGAUCUUUAUCCAAAGAUAUUAUUAAGAUUGCUGUCCAAAUUUUAUCGUGAUAUAAUUAUGGUUAUCAGGGUUCUGUUUGUCUCUAUAACUUCCAAAACAGUAAGGAACAAUUAUGGAAAUUUUAUCUUCUACUGCUAGUAUUCAAAUUCUAGUUCCUAUUUCUUACUCUGUUUUAAGGUGCGUGUUCUCACUCUCCC
rnacentral:lncRNA from 1 species